GGAGAGGUGGGUGAGUGGCUGAAACCAAGCGUUUGCUAAAUGCUCGUACACCAAAAGUGUACCGAGGGUUCGAAUCCCUCCCUCUCCGCCA
rnacentral:tRNA from 2 species